rnacentral:rRNA from 12 species
UUCUGGCACAGCCACCCCCAAGUGCGAAUGUCUGGUCCUGUCUGAUCUCAGAAACUAAUCAGGGUUGUGCCUGGGCAGUACUUUGAUGGGAGACCACCUUGGAAAAGCAGCGGGUUGCGUCAGGAA